GGGGUCGUUAGGGAUUCGACAAGCACUGUUUGAGCUUUAAUUGCGUUUUGAAGGUUACGUCUUCACUAAAACGUUACAGUUAAAUAUAGCUGUUGAAAAAGAAAACACUUUCGCUUUAGCUGCUUAAAAAACAGUUAAGCCAGAUCUGCUUUCUAUCGCCCAUGUGGAAAUGUCAGGUCUUAAUUAAGUGGGCUACACUAAACAUUUCCGCUCUGCAAUGUUUAGAAGAGUUUAUCAGGCUAGCAAAGUAAAUAUGUUGUUGUGUAGCAUUUUACAGCGCGAAAUUCAAAUUACACAACUAUAAACGUAGAGAUUAAAGUAUCAAGGUGUUUGGACAGGGGUUCAACUCCCCUCGGCUCCAUUU
rnacentral:tmRNA from 1 species